rnacentral:rRNA from 1 species
UACGGAGGGGGCGAGCGUUAUUCGGAAUUAUUGGGCGUAAAGGGCGCGUAGGCGGCCCGGUAAGUCAAAGGUGAAAUCCCUCGGCUCAACUGAGGAACUGCCUUUGAAACUGCUGGGCUUGAGUCCGGGAGGGGGUAGCGGAAUUCCCAGUGUAGCGGUGAAAUGCGUAGAUAUUGGGAGGAACACCAAUGGCGAAGGCAGCUCGCUGGGACGGUACUGACGCUGAGACGCGAAAGCGUGGGGAGCAAACAGGG